rnacentral:rRNA from 1 species
AUUGAACGCUGGCGGCGUGCCUUACACAUGCAAGUCGAACGGCAGCAUGAUCUAGCUUGCUAGAUUGAUGGCGAGUGGCGAACGGGUGAGUAAUACAUCGGAACGUGCCCUGUAGUGGGGGAUAACUAGUCGAAAGAUUAGCUAAUACCGCAUACGACCUGAGGGUGAAAGUGGGGGACCGCAAGGCCUCAUGCUAUAGGAGCGGCCGAUGUCUGAUUAGCUAGUUGGUGAGGUAAAGGCUCACCAAGGCGACGAUCAGUAGCUGGUCUGAGAGGACGAUCAGCCACACUGGGACUGAGACACGGCCCAGACUCCUACGGGAGGCAGCAGUGGGGAAUUUUGGACAAUGGGCGAAAGCCUGAUCCAGCAAUGCCGCGUGUGUGAAGAAGGCCUUCGGGUUGUAAAGCACUUUUGUCCGGAAAGAAAUGGCUCUGGUUAAUACCUGGGGUCGAUGACGGUACCGGAAGAAUAAGGACCGGCUAACUACGUG